rnacentral:rRNA from 1 species
ACGGAAGGCAGCAGUGGGGAAUAUUGCACAAUGGGCGAAAGCCUGAUGCAGCGACGCCGCGUGAGUGAAGAAGUAUCUCGGUAUGUAAAGCUCCAUCAGCAGGGAAGAAAAUGACGGUACCUGACUAAGAAGCCCCGGCUAACUACGUGCCAGCAGCCGCGGUAAUACGUAGGGGGCAAGCGUUAUCCGGAUUUACUGGGUGUAAAGGGAGCGUAGACGGUUUGGCAAGUCUGAAGUGAAAUGCGGGGGCUCAACUCCUGAACUGCUUUGGAAACUGUCGAACUAGAGUGCAGGAGAGGUAAGUGGAAUUCCUAGUGUAGCGGUGAAAUGCGUAGAUAUUAGGAGGAACACCAGUGGCGAAGGCGGCUUACUGGACUGUAACUGACGUUGAGGCUCGAAAGCGUGGGGAGCAAACAGGAUUAGAUACCCUGGUA